rnacentral:rRNA from 1 species
AACGAACGCUGGCGGCAUGCCUAACACAUGCAAGUCGAACGAGACCUUCGGGUCUAGUGGCGCACGGGUGCGUAACGCGUGGGAACCUGCCCUUAGGUUCGGAAUAACUCCCCGAAAGGGGUGCUAAUACCGGAUAAUGUCUUCGGACCAAAGAUUUAUCGCCUUUGGAUGGGCCCGCGUUGGAUUAGCUAGUUGGUAGGGUAAAAGCCUACCAAGGCGACGAUCCAUAGCUGGUCUGAGAGGAUGAUCAGCCACACUGGGACUGAGACACGGCCCAGACUCCUAGGGGAGGCAAGGGUGGGGAAUUGUGGAAAAGGGGCAAAAGCCUGACCCAGCAAUGCCGGGUGAGUGAUGAAGGCCUUAGGGUUGUAAAGCUCUUUUACCCGGGAUGAUAAUGACAGUACCGGGAGAAUAAGCCCCGGCUAACCCCGU